rnacentral:piRNA from 1 species
AUAUUACAGCCUGCACCCAAACA